UACGUAGGGUGCAAGCGUUGUCCGGAAUUACUGGGCGUAAAGGGCUCGUAGGCGGCCAACUAAGUCGGAUGUGAAAUCCCCAGGCUCAACUUGGGAACUGCAUCCGAUACUGGAUGGCUUGAAUUCGGGAGAGGGAUGCAGAAUUCCAGGUGUAGCGGUGAAAUGCGUAGAUAUCUGGAGGAAUACCGGUGGCGAAGGCGGCAUCCUGGACCGACACUGACGCUGAGGAGCGAAAGCGUGGGGAGCAAACAGG
rnacentral:rRNA from 1 species